UACGUAGGGGGCGAGCGUUGUCCGGAUUUAUUGGGCGUAAAGAGCUCGUAGGCGGCCUGGUUAGUCGGGUGUGAAAGCCCGAGGCUCAACCUCGGAAUUGCAUUCGAUACUGCUGGGCUUGAGGCAGGUAGGGGAGGAUGGAAUUCCCGGUGUAGCGGUGGAAUGCGCAGAUAUUGGGAGGAACACCUGCGGCGAAAGGCGGUCCUCUGGGCCUGUCCUGACGCUGAGGAGCGAAAAGCGU
rnacentral:rRNA from 1 species